rnacentral:RNase_P_RNA from 1 species
CGAGCAAGCCAGACAGCCGCGCGUGCAGUGCCGAAAGGCCGCACUGUGAGGAAAGUCCGAGCUCCGUAGGGCAGGAUAGCGGGUAACGCCCGCCGAAGGCGACUUUAGGGAAAGUGCAACAGAGAUAUACCGCCGGCGUUUUACGUCGGUAAGGAUGGAAAGGCGAGGUAAGAGCUCACCGGCGCACAGGCGACUGUGCGGCCCUGCAAACCCUAUCCGGAGCAACACCGCAUAGAGGGAUAAACGCUUGCCCGGCGUGUCCCCGGGAAGGUGGCUUGAGCCGUGUGGCGACAUACGGCCCAGAUAGAUGGUUGUCUAAAACAGAACUCGGCUUACAGACUUACUCGCACC